ACGGGAGGCAGCAGCUAAGAAUAUUCCGCAAUGGACGAAAGUCUGCCGGAGCGACGCCGCGUGGAUGAUGAAGGCCGGAAGGUUGUAAAAUCCUUUUAAGCAUGAAGAAUAAGCAGUGUAGGUCCUGACAUUGUGGUGACGGUAGUGCUUGAAUAAGCAACGGCUAAUUACGUGCCAGCAGCCGCGGUAAUACGUAAGUUGCGAGCGUUGUUCGGAAUUAUUGGGCGUAAAGGGCAUGUAGGCGGAUAUGCAAGCUUGGUGUGAAAGGCGGGAGCUCAACUCCCGAACUGCGUUGAGAACUGCAUAACUAGAGUGACGGAGGGGCAGGCAGAAUUCCAGGUGUAGGGGUGAAAUCUGUAGAUAUCAGGAAGAAUACCAAUGGCGAAGGCAGCCUGCCAGCAGAUGACUGACGCUGAGGUGCGAAGGUGCGGGGAGCAAACAGGAUUAGAUACCCUGGUA
rnacentral:rRNA from 1 species